rnacentral:rRNA from 1 species
GACGAACGCUGGCGGCGUGCUUAACACAUGCAAGUCGAACGGAAAGGCCCUGCUUUUGUGGGGUGCUCGAGUGGCGAACGGGUGAGUAACACGUGAGUAACCUGCCCUUGACUUUGGGAUAACUUCAGGAAACUGGGGCUAAUACCGGAUAGGAGCUCCUGUUGCAUGGUGGGGGUUGGAAAGUUUCGGCGGUUGGGGAUGGACGCGCGGCUUAUCAGCUUGUUGGUUGGGUAGUGGCUUACCAAGGCUUUGACGGGUAGCCGGCCUGAGAGGGUGACCGGCCACAUGGGGACUGAGAUACGGCCCAGACUCCUACGGGAGGCAGCAGUGGGGAAUAUUGCACAAUGGGCGGAAGCCUGAUGCAGCAACGCCGCGUGCGGGAUGACGGCCUUCGGGUUGUAAACCGCUUUCGCCUGUGACGAAGCGUGAGUGACGGUAAUGGGUAAAGAAGCACCGGCUAACUACGUG